UGCCCGACAUGAGACGGAGGUUUGAAAACAAUGAUUCAUCUGCUGUAUCUCUCCCUCGCCCACACAAGGGGGGCCACAUACUUUGUCCAGAUUUUUCUGCACAGCGGGACUGAAUGCUGCCUUGGACAGAUUCUGAUGGGGCAAAUGGAACAUCACAUGUAAAGUUGGACUGAGACUCAGAGGCGGUCCUGUUUGUUGCCAUGGUUGGUCCUGGGAUUUCCCUCAGUCUACAGGACAACAAUUGAAACAGGAUAAAAGUCGGUAAAAUUGUUAAUUUCCUGGUUUACAAAAGCACAUCCAACCACACUUCAAAUACAAAAGAGGAUGGUCUAAGUUCUACUUGGUUAAAAUUACAGUGGCUACAAAUAUAAGGACUAUUAUUUCAAGUUAUGAUUUAAGUUUAUUUGGAAUCCAUUUCAAAUCUUAGAAAAAUCUACUCUUGGAAAAUUACUCAACCAAAUUAUGGGUUUACUGCACAUUUUUUCAAUCAACUGUUAAAUUCUUUCACUGAGGUGUAAACACCCUGGUUAAAUUGCAUCCAACUGUUACAGUUAGCAAUGAAAGCAAAUUUGGGCUAAAUGAUUUUCGUGGGUUUCUUAGGAGUUUCUGUACCGAAACACUAAACAGUGUUCCGAUACAGAAACAGGGGGAGAUGAAUGAAAUUAAACUAUUCAAGCAAAUUCUGAGUUAAUCUAGGAAAUUGAGAAAUUUUUCAGUUUUGGGCUUCAGCAAAAUAUAAGAGAGGUUAAAUCAAAAUUCACAAAUGUUUUAACUAUUUGAAUGAGUUUCUAAAGUAGUACUGAAUAUUCUGAACUGAAUACAUUAAAAUUAACAAUGAUGUCAUGUGUCAAGUAGAUUUCUACAAAAUAGAGUUUAAAUUGUUUGAUUGCUGCUUCUCUCUUGCUAUAAUUCAAAAUAACUUGUUCAACCAAGUCAUGCAGAAAGGUCUAACCUGAACAUUAUAUCAUUUAAUAAAUCUAGUUGUAUCAAAUUUCUCCCCAAAACUGCCAAAAACAUUGAUAAAUAUGAUAAACACUACAAAAGAAGGUAAUUCAGUUAAGUAAACAUUCUAUAGAAGGAUUUCAGAGAACAAAUUGUUCAAAGGUUAAAAUUGUUGAACUUAUGGGAUUUAAAUAAUAGAUGAGAAGAAAAUAUGAGGAUUCACAUAAAAAUUGGUCUAAAUUGGGAUUUACAAAUGAGCAAUUAUGGAACUGAUUAAAGGGGGUCAAAAGGAUUGACAGAAUAAAAAGAAUCUAGUCCUAUGUGUAAUCGUUGAUCCAAUGCCUAAACAUUUUUCAUAAUCAUAAUUUACAGUUUUUGGUCUGAGACAAAAUAAGGUUGUCUUUUAUUACAUGAAUGGAACAAAUUACAAAGGAUCUUAAUUUAACACGUAUCAUAAACUUUUCACACUAUUGAUGAUACUUUACAAGCCUUUAGUAUAGCGGUGUACUUCUUGUUAAAUGAGGACUAUUUGAUUGAAUCUCAUUAAAAUAACAAAAGCAAAAGAUUUAUAUAUGGUUUAAGAUUUCUGGUAAAGUUUCUAUUAGGGAUAAAUCUUAUAUACAUUUCAAAUGAUAUUUCUUUGAUAAAACAUGACUGUGGGCAGUUUUGCACAUUCAUUUCAUAAUCUGAUCCUUGACAUUUUUUUUGUUUUUUUUUUUUUUGUUUGGUUUCUGAUUUUGUCUGAUCCUAUGAAUAUGCCAACACUUAGAACAAGGAAAGUUAUUUUUGAAGGAUGAAAUGUACAAGGUGUUACUGACUUUAAGCAUUUCUUUUGCUAUUAUUAAGAGGAGAACUUGAAUAACAGAUGUUACUGAUAUAUUGAUGCUCUAUUGGCUUAGUAUAAAAAAAAAUCUUGAUCUUCAGCUUCAAGGAGAAGCCUUUAAAUAAAAAAAAAGAA